AUUGAACGCUGGCGGCAGGCCUAACACAUGCAAGUCGAGCGAGCGGCGGACGGGUGAGUAAUGUAUAGGGUCUGCCCGAUAUAGGGGGAUAACUACUGGACACGGUGGCUACUACCUCAUACUUUCGGAUAACCCAUAGGGGAUUAGCUAGUAGGUAAGGUAAUGGCUUACCUAGGCGACGCUCCCUAGCUGGUCUGAGAGGAUGAUCAGCCACACUGGGACUGAGACACGGUCCAGACUCCUACGGAGGCAGCAGUGGGGAAUAUUGCACAAUGGGCGAAAGCCUGAUGCAGCCAUGCCGCGUGUAUGAAGAAGGCCUUAGGGUUGUAAAGCACUUUCAGUCGGGAGGCGGUACCGAAAGAAGAAGCAACGGCUAACUACGUGCCAGCAGCCGCGGUAAUAC
rnacentral:rRNA from 1 species